GACGAAGGGGGCGGGCGUUAUCCAUGAUGACUGGGCGUAAAGAGUCCGUAGGCAGCUUUUCUAGUUAGAAGUAAAAUCAAAAAGCUUAACUUUUUGAGGCUUUUAAAACGUUAGAGCUUGGAGUUUGAAGGGAAAUAGUAGAAUUUCAUAUGGAGGGGUGAAAUCCGUAGAAUUAUGAAGGAAUACUAAUGGCGAAGGCGACUAUUUAUUUCAAUCUGACGCUGAGGGACGAAAGCAUGGGGAGCAAACAGG
rnacentral:rRNA from 2 species